CAGUUGCGUAUUCGAAUGUUGUCGAAGCAUAGUAGUAUCCUGAGUAGCGCGGAGCACGAGGAAUUCUGCGUGAAUCUGCCGGGACCAUCCGGUAAGGCUAAAUACUCCCGAGAGACCGAUAGCGAACCAGUACCGUGAGGGAAAGGUGAAAAGCACUUCGAACAGAAGAGUGAAAUAGUUCCUGAAACCGUGCGCCUACAAGCGGUCGGAGCUCGUUAAUGAGUGACGGCGUGCCUUUUGCAUAAUGAACCUACGAGUUGCCUUUGCCGGCAAGGUUAAGUGUGACGACACACGUAUCCGAAGCGAAAGCGAGUCUGAACAGGGCGUAUAGUCGGCAGUGGCAGACGCGAAACCAAGUGAUCUACCCUUGGCCAGGUUGAAGGCUGGGUAACACCAGCUGGAGGACCGCACCAAUAAGCGUUGAAAAGCUUCUGGAUGAGCUGAGGGUAGGGGUGAAAGGCUAAUCAAACUUGGAGAUAGCUCGUACUCCCCGAAAUGCAUUUAGGUGCAGCCUUGCGGGUUACUGAUGUGAGGUAGAGCGACUGAUAAGAUGCGAGGGCUUCACCGCCUAUCAAGUCUUGACAAACUCCGAAUGCGCAUCAGUUCUACCGCAGGAGUGAGGGCAUGGGUGCUAAGGUCCGUGCCCGAGAGGAGAAGAAUCCGGACCACCUGCUAAGGUCCCGAAAUGACAGCUAAGUUAAACUAACGAAGUCUGACUGCUAAGACAGCUAGGAUGUUGGCUUGGAAGCAGCCAUUCAUUUAAAGAGUGCGUAACAGCUCACUAGUCGAGGAGUCGGGCGUGGAUAAUAAUCGGGUAUCAAGUUGUCUACCGAAGCAGUGGGAUCAUUUAUAUGAUCGGUAGGGGAGCAUUCCAGUCAGCGUCGAAGGCGUACCGUGAGGUAUUCUGGAGCGUCUGGAAAAGCAAAUGUAGGUAUAAGUAACGAUAAAGGGGGCGGGAAACCCCCUCGCCGAAAGACUAAGGUUUCCUGAUCAACGCUAAUCGGAUCAGGGUCAGUCGGGUCCUAAGGCUCAGCCGAACGGCGAUGCCGAUGGCAGAAACGGUUAAUAUUCCGUUACUACCUUCAGGAGUGACGUGGAGACGCAGUAGUGACAGUGCCGCCAUCUGACGGAAUAGAUGGUUGAAGGGUGUAGGAGUCGAUCAUGGCAGGCAAAUCCACCAUGAGAUCCGAACCUGAUAGUAUGCCGCGUCCUUCGGGACAAGGCAAUAGUGCGCGUAAGCAUGCUGCCGAGAAAAUCCGCUAAACUUAAUCCUGGAGGUACCCGUACCGCAAACGGACACACGUAGUCGGGAUGAAUAUUCUAAGGCGCUUGAGUGAUUCACGGUUAAGGAACUAGGCAAACUGACCCUGUAACUUCGGGAUAAAGGGUCCCUACCCUUUUAUGGGAGGGCGCAGAGAAUCGGUCCAGGCAACUGUUUAACAAAAACACAGGGCUGUGCCAAAUCGAAAGAUCCAGUAUACAGCCUGACACCUGCCCGGUGCUGGAAGGUUAAGAGGAGAUGUCAUCGAUAAGAGAAGCGUUGAAUUGAAGCCCCAGUAAACGGCGGCCGUAACUAUAACGGUCCUAAGGUAGCGAAAUUCCUUGUCGGGUAAGUUC
rnacentral:rRNA from 1 species